rnacentral:lncRNA from 1 species
AGGAGAAGCCUGCUUCUAGAGCCAUGCGCAGAAAGCCGCAGGUCACCCCCUGGAGACUCGGGUCAGCCCACGCGGCGAGCGCCCCGGAGUAAGCACCUGACGACCGAGGAGGCGCUCCUCCGGGAAGGAUGGCCUUUUGCGGGAAGGAUGCGCCCGGCCGGCAGGGGAUUCUCGAGCUCGUCCGACGCCCUCCGUCCUGACCCCACGUCUGCCACAGCUGUUGCAGUCGCCCAGCACCCUGAUAGUGGGAGCGACCCGGGAAAAGCGUCCACCCGGGAGGGGCGACUGGCACUCGGCCCCACGACACCGCCUCUGAAAUGAAGCGGCAGCUGCGGAUGCUUCUAGAGACUGUGCGCCCCCGCCAGCUCUCACCCUGCUCUCAGGCCCCAGCCUCGGCCACUCCCCGGCAGCCUACAGGGUCAUCCCCUUGGCCGCGGAGGCCGAGAGGAGGCAGCCGCGGGCCGGGGCCCUGCUGCUCGCUGGACCACGUUCCGUGCUGCCCGCCCUGCGGCCCGAAACCGGCGGGAGCUCGGCAGCCGCGCAGUUUGAAGAAUCCUGCCACAGUCUGGUUUGUAGCCUAGUUUCUGCAGGAAGAUCACACCUACUCUGAGAACCACGGACCGUGUGAAGCCCUGUGGAGCUUAAUGGUGAGACGAUCAACAUCAGUGAGGUUCAAGGGGGGUGCCAGCGGUUACAACUCACAAGCUGUCUGGUGUUGUUCUCUGUCAUGUGCUUCUGGCCUCACUCAGUAACAGCAACUCAGAAAACUACCCAGGCGAAAAGUCAUAUGCUUUGAAGAUAUACUAACAUUUCAUCGGCCUCACCAUUUUCCAGGGUCUUCCAAAUCUUUACCAGAGCUGCUAACAAGCAGUCAGCUGGACUGCCCUGUGACUUUCUCCUCUACAGUGAACCCACAGAAAGGUCAGCAGCCGGACACAGAAAUAGGAGAAGGGUCCUGGAUAAACACAGACAGUUUAAUCAACCAUGAAGAAAUCCAAGAGUUGACUGAAAGUGCUUUGUCAGGAAGAGGAGAGAGGCCCCUGCCCUCAGAGAAAUGUUGGAGGUCACUUUAGCAACAGAGACGGCCGCUGGCCACACAGGCCAUCGUGGAGGCACCAAGGGCCUGGUGGGGGUGUCAGUGGGGAGACUC